CCUCCUCAGCCUCAACAACAAACAUCGACGUCUAAGCACAGAUGCACAUCUAAAUGCAGUCAAACUUUCCUCAAGCCUGACAUCAGAUAUGUAAAUGUCUGAUUUUACCUGACCAGGUAAAAUCAGGUAAAAUGUAUUUAGUGCACAGUCAUCUAAAAAGAAAAACUGUCAACCUCCUAACAAGGUGCACAUAUUCACAGCUGCUGCUGCAGGAGAUGAGCCCAAAUGAGGAGAGUCUACAUAAGAUGAGAGGGACGUGCCAGACAACAGGUGCAUGGAUACAUCACGGCUCAUCCACUGGCACCACACUGUAUGAUUCCAGCCAUAUAAAAGACAGCUGGUUUUGAUCUAUUUCAUUUUUUUUUUAGAUCGAUUACUUGUAACUGUACAGCAACUCUAGCUCCUCAGACAGGCGGGAGUAUGACUAAGGGUGUCUCAUCCUAGUCUCACAGGCUAUUCACACUUACUCUUCCCCCUGUGGUGAUAGCGAUGCCUCUCCGCAGUGUAUCUGUAUCUGUUUGUUCAUUCAUAGGAAAAGCAUUAGUGACACGUAGAUGAGUCAUAGAGGCUUGCGUCUAAACAGUCCACGGCGUGUCAGAAACCCUGCCACCCUUCUGCUCCUCGCCUCAAGGCACUACUCAUACCCUCACCAGUCUCCCUAGUUACUCUAACUCGUACAUACGCAUACAUAUGCCUCCUGUGUUUGUUCAAACAGAGCGGGUCCCACCUGAUGUGUUGGGUGCCGCAGAGCAGAUGUUGCUGUAGUUGUGGGCCGGACAGCAGUGGGAGGCUGUGGACAUCCUCAUUACUGAGAUGCUGUUGGGGUUCUCCUCUCUAGUGGGAUCUCUUUAAUGAAGUGGUUCUUCUUAUAAUCAUUCACUCUAAUCACCACACACUGUAAAUACAGGAAAUUCUGCGCAGUAGUGAGCAGUCUUGGUGAAUACAGCUGAAUACCAUAAAUACUGAUACCUCAGAGAAACAAGAUAUUAACAAAAAGGUAGUGUGCAAUCUUAACUAUGUAGAUUUUUUGUGUUUAGCUCAAAUCAGAAAUGAGAGGCGUGCCAGCACCCGCAGCAAUGUGGAUGUUUACAACGUUAAUUGUGUUGUGGUGGUUAUUUCAGUUAUGAGAGCACAAAUGAUUAGUCACAUCCAUCCACAUACCCAGAGUUCAUCUUCUUCAGGGUGGCUGUCAAAAUGUUGUAUAAAGCAGGAUUAUCAUGACUGUGCAGUUAAAGACAAUGGGAAUUGCUCACCUUAUGUCAUAAUUUAGAAAGGGAAUAUAAUAAUUCAGUGUGAACGAGGACACGCAGGGAACCUCAGCGGUUGUUACCAUGUUUUUAAUGUUGCAGUUAUUCAAUGCUUCACUAUAUUUUACAGUCAUAUACUGUUUAUGGAGAUUAGAGGAAGAACACUAAAUUUAAAAAAAGAAAUGGCAAUCGCACAGCUGACAGUAUCAUACUGCACAGCUUAUAUACUGUAUACAGUUUCAUGCUUGCAGAUCCAGCUCCAGCACUUCACUGUAAUUUAACAGGGAAUUUUAUCAUAGUGCAUGAAAUCUGCAACCAUCCAUUCCAAUCUGCACAUAGAUGCCAUCGCUUUCAGGUGAGACAUGAGCAUAAAGGU